CAAUAAGUGUUUAUGGCACUUUCAAAUCCAUACCCACCUUGUGUGCAAUGUAAGAGCCCUUUCAGAACCCCCCCUUCUCUGGAGGGAGGAAGACUGGGCUUCAUUUUCUUCUCACACGUCUUCAAUUGCAAGUCUAACAUUCAGAGUAAUCAAAACUCGAAUA
rnacentral:misc_RNA from 1 species